rnacentral:lncRNA from 1 species
AAUUCGAUACCAAAGCCAUAAAGAACUUUUACCAUUUUACUAAUAUAAUCAUCAAAACACAUAAUAUCUUAGUUUACAACAAAACUAUAUAGCAUACCAAAAUAACUAUUAUAAUUCUUAUGUACAUGCCACUUUCAUUUAAGGAAGAAAACAUCACCAAAAUCUCAAUGCAAGAGUCGGGAUUGACCUGGAUGCUGAACCAAGACUCAGACCCCUAUUUCAACCUAUGUACAGAAACAACCGUAUGCUGAGUAUUUUAUACUCAGUGGUAUUACCAUAAUUCAAAUUAUAAUAGCAAUAAAGAAUUAUAAUUACGAAGCAUGUAACUAUCCGAUUUCUUGAAUAUCAAUUAAUUCAUAAACUUUCAUUAUUUAACAAUAACAAUAAAAUUUUUAACUAUUCUUCAAUCUCAAUCACAUAUCACAUGUAACAAUUUUAAUCACUACAUAAACAUUAAAUUCAUGCCUUUUAUUUUCAAUAUCAAUUUUCAAUCUGCAAAUUUUAAAUUUUCUCAUAUUUAAUACCACAAUCGAUCAAAUUCAUUUGAUUUUCUCAUUUCAAUUAUUCACCCUAUUAACAAUCUGGACUUUGACGAAUACACGGAUUCCAACCCAAACACACUAGUACGGCACAUUGUGCCUAAAACGGUACAUAGUACCUGAUCAGUAUACGACACAUAAGUGCCUGAAAUGACACACAAGGUGCCUAAUACGACACAUAAAGUGUCUGAUCGGCAAAGCCAAUAAAUCCCGUACUCUUCCAAAUCCUAUGGCAUGCCAACUAUAUCCGACUUAGCCUGACUAGUUAAUAGGGUAUUCAAAUUCUCAAUUCUCUUUCAUUUCCAAUUCAAGAUCACUUUUCCACUUUCUAAUCAAUUAACAAUUUAAUACCAAUACAUAUUUCAAAUAAUCACAUAUAAUCAUAUCUCAAUUCAAUUCAAACCACUUUUCAAUCAAUACACAAUUCACAUUUUCACACAUAUUUAUAAAUUAAUUCACUUUAUUUAAUUCAUAUUUUAAAUUCAUUUUUCAAUCAAAUUCAAAUCACUAAUACUUUUUAAUCAAUAUACAUUUCAAAUACUCACAUAUUUCCAUCAUUCAAUUCAAUUUGAUUCAAUUCAAGUCACUAUUAUCAUUCCAAUUGCUUACCUAAUUUUACUUACCAUGCAUUUUAAUUAAAAUAUAACAAUUAAUAAUAAAUAAAUUUGAAUUAUAGUAAUACAAACCCGAAUUUGCUUGAUUAUUCCUUAAUGACCUUCUCCUUCCCUUUUUGUGCCGAUACCUCGAAUUCUUUAUUAGCUACGAAAAUUAAAUAAUCAAAUAAUUAAUUACAGCACAAAUUUUACAAUAAAAAUAAAAUUUCUAUCAAAUUUUAUACUUUAAUUCCAAUUUAAUCCUAACUAGAUUUAUCUACUUUUCUAAUUUAAUUCACACUCUAUUUCUAUUCAAAACUUCUUCUAAACUCAAAUUUAUCUACUAAAUUUUCAUCAUUUUUCACUAAUUUCGAAUUUUCCACAAUUUAAUCCCUAAAAUUCAAAACUUGUAGUUUAGUUUACAAUUCAAUCCUUUAUUCAAUUCCAAAUAAAAUUUCUAUCAAAUAAAUCCUCAAUUCCAUCAUUUAUUCAACAUAAACCCUACUCAAAAAUCUAUUAACUUUCAAAUUUUUAACUUAAAUCCAAGAGUAAUUCACUCUAGGAUUCCAAAAACAUCAAAUUUAUGAGAAAAGCACUUGAUUUAGCUUACCUAUUAAACUUCAAGCUUCAAAAUCUCAAUUUUCCCCCUUUCUUUUCUUUCCCUUUUUCUUCCCCUGUUUUCGUCUCUUUCUCUGUUUCUUUUCUGUUCUUCUUCUCUUUUUCUAUUCUUUUAUUUC